rnacentral:rRNA from 1 species
AUUGAACGCUGGCGGCAGGCCUAACACAUGCAAGUCGGGCGGAGCGGCGGACGGGUGAGUAAUGUAUGGGGAUCUGCCUGAUGAAGGGGGAUAACUACUGGAAACGGUAGCUACUACCGCAUACUGAUGGAUGGACCCGCGGUGAAUUAGCUGGUUGGUGAGGUAACGGCUCACCAAGGCCACGAUGCAUAGCCGACCUGAGAGGGUGAUCGGCCACACUGGGACUGAGACACGGUCCAGACUCCUACGGGAGGCAGCAGGGGGGAAUAUUGGACAAUGGGCGAAAGCCUGAUCCAGCCAUGCCGCGUGUGUGAAGAAGGUCUUCGGAUUGUAAAGCACUUUAAGUUGGGAGGCGUUACCAACAGAAUAAGCACCGGCUAACUUCGUGCCAGCAGCCGCGGUAAUUC